rnacentral:rRNA from 1 species
CAGUCGCCGCGGUAAUACGUAGGGUGCGAGCGUUGUCCGGAAUUAUUGGGCGUAAAGAGCUUGUAGGUGGUUUGUCGCGUCUGCUGUGAAAAUCCGAGGCUCAACCUCGGACUUGCAGUGGGUACGGGCAGACUAGAGUGUGGUAGGGGAGACUGGAAUUCCUGGUGUAGCGGUGGAAUGCGCAGAUAUCAGGAGGAACACCGAUGGCGAAGGCAGGUCUCUGGGCCAUUACUGACACUGAGAAGCGAAAGCAUGGGGAGCGAACAGGAUUAGAUACCCGCGUAGUCCCUGUCUCUUAUAC